UUGACACGCUCGUACGGAAAAAUCGAGUGUUAGCCAGGAAAACGAGUGGGUGGUUCGCUGGGUAGUUUUCAUGCUCGGUGAGUUCUCGAAAUCGAUUGUGUUGUUGUUUUGGAGGAAGAGUCGAGUGGAAGUUAACAUCAACGUCGGAAUUGUUGCGUCAAAGAAGGAAAACCGUCAAAACGAAGGGAUUGCGUCAUCGGCGUCGGCAGCGGCAGCGGCACAUCAGAUUAGGGUUUUCGUGAGGGUUCAAGCGAAGAAGACGCAAAGUCGGGUCGGGUUUCAGCCUCUGAACCGGCCCACGAAACGAACGCGGGCCCUGUGCGUUUCGGCCCAACAUGGACGGGCGCUGCAGCCUUGGUCUCGACUCGGCUUGACGUGUACAGCAGCUCAGCUCCAUCAAUACCCGCGGCUCGGCUCCGUCAAAUCCGGCAGCUCAGCUUGGCGGCUUAGUUGGUCGGCUCGGAAGCUCGGCUUGGUGACUCGGUAUCACUAUAAUAUAUCGAUUUCUAAGUUUUCGACCCUUCCAAAGCCUGCCCUUAGUUUUACCAUCCAUCCGAGGACGUAUUUAACCGCUGGGAUUAGCUCGUUGUGAGUGACUUCAACCAAGACCAUCGAAGUAAAGGCAAGACGCCAAUGUACGGUUGACGGCGGAGCUGAGGACACCAUGGAAGUUGGAGAUGGGAUAUUUGUAGGAGUUUACGUUUAUUGGACUGUUUUAAGUUAUAGUAUUAAGUAUUGCUUUAUUUAGAUUUAUUUUUUUUGAAUUCGGUU